ACGAGUCCUUUUGGCCAGUUUUUCUGUUUCUUUUAGUGUUUUCUCUUCCUCUGUUUAUCCUGUAGAUAUUUCUUAUUCUCCAGGGUUCUAUCUUGAAACAGCAUUUUCUUUUCUUACUCACCCAUGGUUUCAAAUACUGUUUCUACACUAAUUGUCCCAAGCCUUGAUUUCCUGUCCAAAUUCCGAUGCAGAACUCCGGACUCUACGUUCGGUUUCCUCAACAUCUGAGUUGAACAUGUCCAAAGCUUAUCACCUUCCAUUCUGAUCUUCUCCCGUCAUGAAUUCCCUCCUGUGGUAGAUGGCAUUGGCACCAAGCUGGUUGCCCGUGUUGUCAAUAGUCGACAGAACCUCCCCAACCUCGGCCCCCUGCUGAGAACCGCAAUGUCCACUCACAGAGGUGAGUCCUGUGGCCCCUCCCCCAGCUAGCGAUGGCUGGCUUUAGGCGGAUGCUUUACCCAAUCUGGAUCAAUCAGAUUCUCUCCCAGGACUUUCUUCAGCCAUUACUGAUGCUUCAACUAGAGCUGGUGCAGCUACAUGCACGGAGAAGAGUAGAGAGUUGGUCUACAGAGAGAGCUGGAAGUUGAUCGCGAGGAGAAGCAGAGAGUAGAAGGUAUGGCCUUGCACCCUGCCCCUGCUCCUCAGCUGCCUGUGCCUGGCCUGCGCGCAAGCUGUCCCUGGGUCACCACUCUCUGGCUAUAAAGCAGUUUCCUUCUAAACUUUUGUCAUUAAUUCCUGUAUUAAAUUCCCUCAACAUCUAACAUGAGUUUUGUGUUCCUGGCUGGACCCUGACUAUUGUAAACAUCUUUGCAAAUAAGCACCUGGAGAUCCACAUAAGCUAUUUUAAGAGCUGCCUAUGCUUCGCUGUGUGAAUUCCCACCACCUAAUCAUUUCGCUGUUGAUGAACAUUUAACUUGUUUCCGAGUUUUUUGCCGCUACAGUUAGUGCUGUAAUGAACAUCUUUGCGUAUAUAUGUGUUGAAUGGGAUGAAGUGAAACUGCUAGAGAUAGUAUUGUUAGUCAAAAAAUGGGUAUGUAUUUUUUAAUUUUAAUACUAUUGUCACAUUUCUGCCACAGUUUAUACCAAUUUAUACUUUCAGCAACUGUGCAUUAGAAUGCUUGUUCCCCUGCCCCCUGGCCAACUCUGCCCAUCUCACGGGUGAAAAAUAUUUCAUUGUUUUAAUUUGCGUUUCUUUAAGUUCUCAGUGAGAUUGGGUAUCUUUUCCUACACUUACUGGCCAUUUGCAUUUCUUUUUCUGUGAACUACCGUGUAACUCAUUUUAUGUCUGCUUUUUUCACCUAAUAUUAUAUAGCAUGACCUUUAUCUAGAACAAUAAUAAAAAGCCACAUCGUCAGUAGGACUGCAUACUAUUCCAUCCUAUGACUGUACCAUAAUUAUUCUUUUAUUAUUGUAUAUUUAGAUUGUUUCCAGUUUUCUUCUUAACACUUACAAAUUCUCACAUGAGGAAUUAGGGGACAUAAGGGGGUUGUGUGUGUGUGUGUUUAAGGCUUUUGAUGUACAGUACCAGGUUGCCCAAAAGAAAGUUCACCCCAGUUUGCACUCUACCAGUAGACUAUGAGGGAACCCAUUUCCCCAUAUAAAGCGUAUUCAGCCAAGAGGUAACUUCUGGAGUUUGCACCAUGAACUCCACAGGCGAGAUGAGCCCCUGAGCUGCUGCCCAAGGAGUCUCCAGACUUGCAGGGUUGGGGCCACUCAGGUCUCCAGCAAGAGCAGUUUCCUUUGUCCAUCGCUGUGAAGUUGGAACUACAGACCAACAUGCUCUCCUUCAUCCCGCUGCUGUCUCCUGAGCGUCUGUUGUGGGCCGCAGGCUCUCUCCUGCCCUAGAGCUCUCCCGUCAACACUGGAGAGGAAAUCAUAGUGUUUAGAAGCUGCUCGGGUUUUGGAGAAAGCCCACUUACGAGCUGUGUGAACUUAGGCAAGUUGCUGAAUUUCUCUGAGCCUCAGUUUUCUCUUGCAUACAAUUGAGAUUGUAAAACUGAUGUCAGAGGACUGCCUGGCACACAGUAGGUUUCAGUGGAGAGAUUAAAAGUGUGGGCUCUGGAGGUGGCUACGCAGUUGAAUCGUGGCUCCACAGCUCACUGACUUUGUGACCACAGCACCAUAGUUAACCUCUCUGAGCCUUACCUUCCUCACAUUGAGAGUGGGUAUAAUCAUACUCGCCUCAUAACGUUUUGGAGAAGAUGAUACAUGUAAAGAACUUAGCACAGACCUGGAACCUGGCAAGUGCUCAAUUAAUGUGUUAUUUUUUAAAUAGCUUUAUUGAAAUGUAAUUUACAUAUUGCUAUGAGCUGAAUUCUGUCCCCCCAAAUUCUUAUAUGUUGAAGUCCUAACCCCUACUACAUCAGAAUGGAACCAUAUUUAGAGAUAAGGUCUCUAAAGAUGUAAUUAAAUUAAAAUGAGGUCAUUAGGGUGAACCCUAACCCAACAUGACUGGUAUCAUUCUAAGAAGAGGACAUUUGGACACAGACAUGUGCAGAGGGACGAUGAUGUGAAGAUGAAGUGGGGAGACGACCAUCCACAAGUCAAGGGGAGAGGCCUGGACCAGCUUCUCCCUCAUGGCCUCAGAGGGAUGGACCAGCUUCUCCCUCAUGGCCUCAGAGGGAUGGACCAGCUUCUCCCUCAUGGCCUCAGAGGGAUGGACCAGCUUCUCCCUCAUGGCCUCAGAGGGAUGGACCAGCUUCUCCCUCAUGGCCUAAGAGGGAUGGACCAGCUUCUCCCUCAUGGCCUCAGAGGGAUGGACCAGCUUCUCCCUCAUGGCCUCACAAGGAUGGACCAGCUUCUCCCUCAUGGCCUCAGAGGGAUGGACCAGCUUCUCCCUCAUGGCCUCACAAGGAUGGACCAGCUUCUCCCUCAUGGCCUCACAAGGAUGGACCAGCUUCUCGCUCAUGGCCUCAGAUGGAGCUGAACUUGCCAACACCUUGAUCCCAGACUUCCAGCCUCCAGAACUGUGAGAGAAUCAAUUUGUGUUGUUGAAGCCCCCAGUCUGUGGUGUUUUCUAUGCAGCCCUAGCAAACUGAUACACAUACCAUGAAAUUCACCCAUUUUAGUGUAUACUUCAAUGAUUCUUGGUAAAUUAACAGAGUUCUGCAAUCUAAUAUUAGAAUAUUUUCAUCACUCCUUAAAGAAACCUUGUCCCCAUUUGCAGUCACCCCCAAUUCCCACCUUCAGCCCCAGGCAACUGCUAAUUUUCUCUCUCUCUCUGUAGAUUUGCCUUUUCUGGACAUUUCCAUAUAAAUCAUCUCCAAUGAUUAGGGAAUUUUAUAUAGUAAGAGUCAGCCCAUUCUGUAUCCUGAUUAUUUUUUAAACUUCUUAUAAUGAGCCCAAAUCUAUUGCCCCAUAACUUCUACACAGUAACAUGUUCCUAUUCUAGUUUAUUUGUAACAUAAGACGAAACUUGUGAUGUGUACCGCAGAAGAAUGGGAUUGAAGUAUUCGGUCAGAAUGGCCAUUAUAAAUUAAGAAAUUAUCACUUUGUUUUUAGCAGUCAAUAAGGAAAAAGACUGACAAAAAGAGACUAUGAGGGAAAGUGCUGGGGUUUUCUGUUGUGGGGUUUUUUUGGUGAGGAAAAUUGUUGCGGAGCUAACAUCUCUGCCAAUCCUCCGCUAUUUUGUAUGUGGGAUGCCACCACAGCAUGGCUUGAUGACUGGCACUAGGACUGUGCCUAGGAUCCAAACCACCAACCCCAGGCCGGAAGUGGAACGCAGGACUUUAACCACCCUGCCACGGGGCCAACCCCCCGAAAGUGCUGUUUUGAGUUGUGGGAGGACAGAGACAAUAGAACCGCUAAGGAGGACGUUUCCCCUGCUGAGACCUAAGCUGAGGAGCUGUUCCCUGGGCAGCUCAGCACCUCCAGUAACUCCAGUAACUCGGGGAUGUUCCAUCAAGACCACAGUGGGGGCCACACUGAUGGCAGGGCGUGGAGCUGCCCAGACUUGUGGAGGCUGCUCAGGGACGGGGCCUCGUGCACUGCUGUUGUGGAGAAGAUGCCUUUCGAUGAAAUCUAUCUGCGUCAUCAUGUGAACACUGCAAAGGAAGGCGUCUGCUUUUCUGCCCUGGAAAAGUUGACCCCGCUAACCUUCCCACUCACCGUGACAGUGAAUUGAAGCUGGGCGUGGCCGUGCCUAUGCACGGUCUCAUGUUGCAAAUAUAUCAACUGCAAGAGAGUGGAUCUUGGAGUCAGAGAAGCAAUGGCAGCCCGAGAGGUAGCCUGCGGUGGGCGGGGAGGCUCAAGGCCCCCUGAUCUUCAUCACGACCUUGACCUAACCCAGAUGAAUAUGCGAAGUGGAGCGAUGAGCUGGCUACGCAAACACAGCCUCAAGAAAAUCCCUUGCCCACGUUCCCAUCAGACGCUGCCUGACUCUUCUAAUACAAAAUUUUGGAGCCUCUGUUACAGGCCUAAUUGAAUCCUGCUCUCCCACUUAUCAACUUAGAAAUAACAUGAGUUAUUUCACACCCAUAAACUUCAUUUAUCUACUCUGUAAAUUGACAUGACAUUACCCAUCUCAUAAGAUCAUCAUCACUCUCAAUCGAGCUAAUGCUUACAAAUUGCAUGUUUGACAUUUUCUAUUCAUUUGCAAAACUCAAAUAUAUAAACAACAAUCGCA